CCGCGCUGGGGUCCGCUGCCCGGGUCUAGCCCAAGUCUUCGCUCUCCGCGCCCUUUCCCGCUGUCCCUCGGUGCCCGCAGACAGCGCCCCGGAACACGGCCAGACGGGGUUUACCGCGCUAGCACCGUCCUGUCACGUCGGUGCCCCGGCCCCUUAGCACAGUGCGGGGCGCGUGACCGGAGCCUCCUAGCAUCUCGAAGUGGAAGCCUGACUGGACUGCCAAGUCCCAGGCUCCGCUUGAGCGCUCUCUUGAAACUCUGGGCUAAUAGACGUCUCAGGUUCAACGCAUCUUUUGUGCGCCCUUCCUUCCGAUCUCGGGUGGGCAGCUAGCUCAUCACUUCCCCUUCCCCUAGAUCCGCUCACACGUCGCCUUGCUUAAGAGGUCUGCCUUGAAAUCUUCAGUCACCCUCAUCCUGUCUGCUCCCUGGCCUUUCCGAUUAUUCCUGUUCUUUGAUUUUGGGUUUGAUUGGCUUAGUUGGUUGGCUUUUUUUUUUUUUUUUUUUUAAGACACAGUCUCCCAAUGCAGCUCAGGCUGGCCUCAAAUUGGAAAUUCUGCCUCAACUUGCCAAGUGAUGACAGGUGUGUGCCACACCGCACCUGGUCACUCUUCACGAUACAACUACCUAAAAUAUUUACUGAAGACGGGGACCUAUUCUGACUUGUUCCCUUUUCCCCUUCGUAGGAAAAACAAAAUCAGAAACAUUAAACAAUACUGUUUUCCUCUCUCAAAAUGCUCACACAGACCUGCACAGAGUUUUGUUUCAUAGCCGAUUCUAAAUAGCACGUUGACAAGACCUAUCACAAACCUCAUUUGUCCUUAUGUGUAAUUCUGGUCUUGUUUCCCAUACAUGCACUGAUGUCCCCACGUCCCAGUUGUGUUGAAAUAUCUGGCUAGGAAAUUGACUAGAAGUGGGAACUGAAGAUGGAUGCUGUUUGCUUACUAAUUUACAAAACACUAAGCAAGCACCCACUAUCCAUAUGAAGGAAGGGGAACUUAUAAGAUACUAAAAAUCACAACUAAUAAGGAACUAAUAUGGCACUAAAGAUCACAGGCUUUCUCCUAGUUGCCCACAUCUUUCAUCCACCUAAUCCACAAAUUGCAAAUCUGAGAAUUCUUUUUUUGCUUUGCUACACCCUCUUUCUAACAAUUUACUGGCCAAUAAUGUCUCCAAAUAUCCCUUCUACUCCUUUUCAAUAUAUAUUUACUCUUGGUCUUUUGGUCAUUCUAACUAUUGCACCCUUCCCUAUUGGCCUCCCCAUUCAGAAUCUUCUCUGUCCAGACCAUGCACCCCAGAGGCAUUGAAAUGGCUUUCUUUGUCUGCUUUUUUUCCUAAGGGUUGAAGCAGCAACUUUGGCAUACUAAACAAACACUUUACUAUUUAAGCACGUUCCCAUCAAAGAGUGACUCAUUCCUCACUUCUUCCUUCCUCUCUUAGUUUCUUUUCCUGUUGCUGUGACAAAGUACUUUGAGAAAAGCAACUUAAGGGAAAAGGUUUUCUUUUGUUUUGUUUUUCUGGACCACGGUUCAUGGUACAGGCCAUGAUGGUAGGAAACUCAAGGCAGUAUUGAACCUGAAGUAUUAAAGUUGAGCUUGAAGCAAUUGGUCACAUUACAUCUUGAAAGAAGUGGACAGAGAACAAUGAAGACCCGCUAGUGAGAAGCUGCUUUCUCCACUUUAUACACACCAGAAUCCUCUGCCUAGAGAAUGAUCCUGCCCACAUUAAGAUUGGUCUUCCUACAUCAACUAACUUAAUGGCUCAUCACCCACAGGCUGCUCAAAGGCCCAUCUCCAGCUACGGAAAGGAAGUGACUGGGCAGAACUGAACAGAGUCUGGGGCAAGGAUGACUUCCAGCAGAAGGAAUGGACUGCAUAGGCCUGUGCACAGUGAUGGCACACAGACAAGGAUCUGGGAGAAGUCCUCAGUGGCCAGCUCGGCAAACCAGAAAGCAGACGGUAGGACCAGACGGCGGGCUGAACCAUAAUCCUCGAGGCCCGCUCUCAGUGGCCUACAUCCCUUAUCCAGGCCUCAUGUCCUCCGUGUCCCCAAAACUGCAACACACGCUGGGGACCGGGUGUUCAACGGGGGACAUUUCUCGUUCAAACUCUACCAGAGGGAGCUUUGAGACGGUAUGAGAGGUCCUUCGUUGCUCAAAGUGUGGCUGUCAUGUGGGAGUGAGAAGUUCUGAGAAAAUGAGAGAAACAGCCUUGGGGAUUCACAGAGCAAUGACUUUCUUCUCUGUCCUUCUCAUCCCUACACCAAGUCAAAGUGCUUUAGAGGAUGCAUCAAACUCAGGAAAACUGCAAGCUGCAUGUGUUCAUUCCCUGAGUCCAGCACUUAGGUGGAGGUGUUGGUACCUGGAGCUGAAGCUGGCGUCCCUGGGAGAGGUGGGGCCGAUAGUCUCUACUUCUCCUGUGGGAUGCAGCUUCUCCCCCAACCCCGACUCCUCAGGCAGUGGGGGUGGCAGGGGAGCUUAGCAGGCAGACAAGUCUCAGGAAGCUAUUCUGGGUAAUAGAACAGUCUGUGUAGGGGCGUGGAAGCAUGAGGAACUUUAAUAGCUUAAAGAAGGUAAGUCCUUCGGUGUGAACGGAGGCUGGGAUGGCAGCAGUUCCGGGAAAUGAGGCUAGAGGGAUGUAUUGGCUCCAUGUUAUGGAACGCCUCGUUUGUUACCGCAAGGAAUAUAAAAUGAGCUUGUCAUGCUCUUCCAACGAGGGUCCUGUUAUGUAACAGCGAAGAGAAACACAGUUGGAAAUGGAAAUGGGGCUUGAUUCACCGGAAACUGGAGGAGGUAGAUCUUAAUUUGCAAACCCGAGUGCAUCACUAAGCUUCCUAUCUACUGAGGCAGAUAAUGGCAAUGCCCACUUUGCACCUGGAUUUGCAUACCUGCCGGCCCCUGGGCCUUGUUUUCUAAGCUCCAGCACUGCCUGUGGACCGCUUACCCUGAACCUCAAGGCAGAGUGUCCCCAGACUUCUCCAGUUUCCCUGUCCUGUUCUCCAGUUCAUGUGCAGUAAAGGAACAUAACCUUGCCUCAAAUUUGUCAAAAAAAAAAAAAAAAAAAAACAUCAUAUGCCCUCUAGGCAGAACGUGUUGUUUCAUGACCCUGUUCAAUCCUGGAUGUCAUUUCCUAACAUGGAGAAUAAUCUUUUUACAAAUGUCCCAUGGCCACAUCAGUGCUAUCUCCAGUGUUUCCUCAGAAUGGAAUUGGGCAUGGGGAAUAUGUACAAAGGUCUAAGCCCUCCAGUUUGCACUGUCACCUCUGGUUAAGGGAGUUUGCAUGGCUGACUUUGGGAUUAGAGCCCUAGGCAGUCUUCCCACAUACACUCUGACCAGAUUCCCCUCCGCUCAGGGCCCGAGUUGAUUGAUUGCCCCCAUCUAACACCACUGCCCCAAUCUUUAGGGAGGAAGGCGGCGUGUUUGCUCUUCUUCUGAGAAAGGGGCCCAAUUCAUUCUUGUCCAAGCAGCAUAAUAAAUAACCUGUCCCUUUUGGCAGGGAGUUUAUUAGAGACUGACGGGACAUUUAACAAUAACUGGGGGCCUGUGAUUUAUUAGGUAGGGAGAUUUGUGGUGUCUCUAAAGCCUGGGAUGUGGAAUUUAAUUGAUAAAGAGGCUGUCAGCCUCUAUGAGAUGUGCUCAAUAGAAUAUGCAUCGGAAGGGAUUCUCUUUGGAGCUGUCAGGAAGGGUUUCUGCUGAUCACAUUCGUCUUCUAUGCACAGUGAAGUCUGCUAGAUAUCUGAGUGAGAGACAAACGGCUCGGAGGGGACCCUGGAAGGGACCUAGAGUCCAAAGCACCUGUCAGUUGCUGGGCCAAUGGAAGAACGUGACACAAAUGAGUAAACGAAAAGGGAUUUCAUGAUCCUCGUGACGGACCCUCUCAGGAGCCCUUUGUUUUUCCUGUGAGCUGCUCCAGAGAGCAGAGAGGUGCUUAGCACCUACAGCCUAGAAAGAGAGAGGGAGAUGAAGGGGUUACAAGUCAUGAAAGAUUCAUUUUGGAAUUCUAAACUCUCUGGACCAGAGACAGCUCUCCCUCCUACUUUGCCUUACCCUCCAGCCACAGCCACCAUCGCCAGCACACACACACACACACACACACACACACACACACACACACACACCUUCGUGACCACUACUACCAUACCAGUUACUUCACACUCAAGUAUUCCCGGAAGUCCUGGUUCAGGUAGCAAUUCCUGUCACUCCUACUUUCUUGCCAAGAACAGAGCCACGGAAACCAAGAUGGAUGGAGCCUCCCCUUGCCACUGUGAUUGCCUUCCACUGCCAGAUAUCCCAGAACCCAAGAUGAGAGCCUGGACACAAACGCUUGGGGUGGGGUGGGGUGGGGUGGGGUAGAGCACCCAGCCACCUAUCCACCCUUCCACCUCAAUCUGCCCCCUGUACGGGAGAUGUUUCCAUCAGAGAACGCAGAGCGCUAGC